UCCCACUUUCUCCAUUUGUUCCCAGACUUCUUGAGUUUCCAAGUUUCAACCCAUCCAUCUCCCGAUACUUAGAACCUACCUAUAUAUUCUCUUGAAUAUAUGAUAUAUUGAUCUUCAUCUUCUUAAGGAUCUUCACUGACUCAAUGGACUUUCUAGACAAAUUCCUUAUGUCCAAAGACCCUACUAUCAACCUUGCAACUCCC
rnacentral:lncRNA from 1 species